UCUUCGCCGACAACGUCGUCUCCGGCGACGGGGAAGGGGCGGAUCCAGUUGAUGCUGCGCACAACAACGGAGGACAGAGACGAUCACAGUUUUGCCAUGUGGACGAGGACAUUGAUUGGGCUUGUUCUCGCAGCUUGCGCACAUCGCCGGAGGGCGGAGGCCGGACAAGCGCGCCAUCACCACGCCAGGGGAGCUGUUGACGGGAAUAUCCUAUUAUGCGUCAACGUGUCGAGGCGCCGCACACCCCCUUGACUUGAAUUGGGCCGGCCUUUUUGUAUCUCUUUCCUGUCCCCUUCCUCGUGCGACUCGCUCAUUCCUCCACAGAUAAGCUUUCCUCGCUCGUGCGGCGAUCCCCUUUUCCUCCCUGGUGCGAUAGAUUCUACUCCGGCAAGAGACCGCCGCCCUCGUGGCCAGUGUCUCCAUCGUCGGCGUCCGCGUUGUCUAGGGCUCCGUCAAGCUCGGCGUCGUCUAGGGUUCCGCCAAGCUCGGCGUCGUCUAGGCCCUGGUCAAGCUCGGCAUCCACAAGAUAUGUUGUAUAAAAGUCGAGAAAGCAUUUUUUUGAUGGACUGGUGUUAGCUCUGGUGAUAUUUGUUGUAGAUUACAACAAGCAGGUAUACUUAGAUGCUUUUUUUCAUGUAGAUAUGUGUGCACUGGGGUUAUUUCUAGCACUUUAGAACUAGUAUCUGUACCUUGACCAUUUUUACAUGAUGGAUAACCUUUGUGUGCUACUCUUUUCGCAUAUGUAUUGUUCAGGUGCUUAUCACAUUCACAAUUUGUAAACGAUGUAUUCCACAAACAUUGUUUAGGGAACACUAUCUAGGAACAUUAUUUUAGGGAACAUUUUCCGAUGAACAUUACAUGGGAACAUUAUUUAUUUUGAAGAACAGUUUUUCACUUCACAGAAUAUUCUUAAAUUUUGCAUAGUUAUUUGGGGACAUUCAUCAGGGAACAUUACUCUGGGAACAUUAUUUAGCUAACAUUAUUAAGGGAACAUUUUGCUAAGAAAAAUUGUUGGCUCCAGCGAACAAUAAUUAAUUUUGUUGGAAAAUAAUGUUCUCGGAAAAAGUUGCAACCUGCAACUUGUUUAGGCUUUUACCAACAUUAUUCUUUGUUUUAUGGGAACAUUUUGCAAGGAUUUUUUUACUCCAGGGAACAUUAUUUUAUUUGUAGAACAUUUUAGAGUUUGGAGAUAGUUUUUUAAAUAUACCUAGAACAUCUUCCACGGAACAUUAUUUAGGGAACAGUUUUCAAGGGACAUUUAUGAGGGAACAUUAUGUGCGGAACAUUAUUUAGGUAACAUUAUCAAAGAACCUUUUGAAAGGAAAAGUUGUUGACUCUAGGGAACAUUAUUUAUUUUUGAAGAACAUUUUCUGACUUCGAAGAAUAUUUUCAAGAUGUAUGUAGUACAUUUUCCAGGGAACAUUAUUCAAGGAACAUUUUCGAGGGACAUUUAUGAGGGAAAAUUAUUUGGGGAACAUUGUUUAGGUGACAUUAUUAAGGGAACAUUAUUUAGGGACAUUAUUAACAUAACAGUAUUGACGGAACAUUAUUGAAGGAACAUUUUGUCAGGGAACAUUAUUUAAAAAACAUUUUCCCACGAACAUUAUUCAGGUAACAGUAUGAAGGGAACAUUUUUACGGAAAUACUAGUUCUUUUAACAUAGGAAAUUUUGAGUCAAGAUUUGUACCAGCUCCCAAGUUCAAUUUCAGGUGCCUUUCUGAAUGGAACUCUCCCCUGUACUUAUAACACUGAUAAGCAACUUCUGUGCUCUAUCUCCACAAAUAAUAGUUACAAAGAAUUUAAAAUUCACCAAAUGUUCCAUCACAAUUUUGUUUACAGGUAUGACUCAGGGAUUUUCCUUCUUCAGUAUCUGAGAAACUACAAAGGUCUCGGAAUGGAGGGUUUCCCUAAUGCAAGUACCACCACAAUUACCCCGUUGAAAGCACUUUUUUCCCUUCUUUGUGAUUCUUCGGUACAUAACAGAAAUUAAAUUGCAUUUUAUUUUAAAAAUUGAAGGACGAUCUAUAAGCUCAACGUGAGAAAUACCAUUUUGAGAUUGUCACUUGCAAGGACAAUGAAAUUCAGCUGCCAAUUGUAACUUCUUUCCCGCAGAAACAUGGUUUCCGCAUAUUCAAGUGAAGCUUUGAAGGCCAAUCAUUUUUCGUCCCGCAUAUGAACUCAGCUUAGGGUCUCAUCACUAUUAUUUAUUGCUAACUUCAAGGGAAAUUGCAGUGCAAGAAUUUUUUUGAACUGAAAGGAAUUCUUCCAUGAGGGAAAUGUUUCCUUAAUGAUACAGUUCUCUGCUUUUGUCAUGGUGCCCAGUGAUGCUUUCUUGCAUUACUUUCAGUUGCAAAGAAGAUUCAAAACUGCAUAAUUAGUUUGUAAAGAAGCUCUAGGCAUAAUUACUGUUUUAAAAUGUUUCUUCGACCUCUCAGUACUGUUAUUGAACAAGCAUAAUUACUGUUUGUAAAUGUUUAUUUACUUCAGCUAUAUUCUUUUGUACAGUUGGAAUCAGUUCUCUGUUUUAGAACCAGCA